CGGGUCGGUCAGGCAGCCGCUGGCGGGAAACCGCUGGAGGAAAGUCCGGGCUCCACAGGGCAGGGUGCCAGGUAACGCCUGGGGGUCACACUGGUGACGGUGUGGCUACGGCCAGUGCCGCAGAAAAUAGACCGCCUGUUCCUUCGGGGGCGGGUAAGGGUGAAAAGGUGCGGUAAGAGCGCACCGCGCUGCUGGUAACAGCGGUGGCAGGGUAAACCCCACCCGGAGCAAGACCAAAUAGGGAUCCAAUGGCGUGGCCCGCGCUGGAUCCGGGUAGGUCGCUAGAGGUCCCCGGUGACGGGGAUCCCAGAUGAAUGGCUGCCCACGACAGAACCCGGCUUAUCGACCGGCCCACCUU
rfam:Alcanivorax dieselolei B5, complete genome.